GUCAUCUUGGAAGUCCAUGUCUUUUCUUUACCCCCUAGUCUGGAGGAGUGUCCUCGGUUGCUGUCACCUAUAAUCAGCUGCAGGCUGGCAGCCGCUAUGAAGCCCUCUUGUCGCCGACUCAGAUUUUUCACCAGCCUGAAGGAUGAAAAUUGGAUGACGUCUCCACAUUUGAUGGUGAUGCUGUCUGGUCCAUUUUGAAGGCAAUCAGCCAAAGCCCUGUAUCUCCCUGGAGACUAACACAAAAGGAAAACUGUCAAUCACAAAUUGCACCAACACUUCCUCCUCCGUGUCAGACGGGUGGAAAGCGUCCCGACCUCCAGGCCACUCCUCCAGACCCUCGCAGAUGUCUACUGAGUGAUGAGCUCCGGGCCAACCUUGGACACAGACAUUAAUAUGACUGUUACAGGGGAGUGAGGCUGGGGGUCUGGACUGCUCUUCCCCGACUCAGUGUCCUCUGAGCUCACUGACGCCCUCUGCUGCUUGCUAGAGAGUGGCGGAGAGAGCUGCAUGUGUUCAACCAUUUGGCCAUGAUGAUAUGCUUCAUCUGUGACAAGAGGAACAACAAGACCUCUGAGCAUCUUCUGCUGGUUAGUUAGGAUUCUACGCAGCUCAUUGAGCCAAGCUGUCUUCACUUCCAGCGUAGGAGCCUGAGAGACAACAGAAACAUCGCGACAGGCUAAACAAGACGGCCCGUUUUAUUCCUGUCUCGCUGUGAUAUCUCUGUCUACAAGAUCUGCUGCUGACCAAACACAGCUCUCUGUCUAACCUUGAGCAGCAGCUGGUAUUUGGUGAGGCGUUGGACUGGUUUCAACAGGAAACAAGCGCCCACACCUUCAGGAGCCUCCAAGCAUCCCUCCAGGUCCUGAAGGAAGACCCUGGAAUCCCAGAAAGGUCAAAGGUCAAAGGCCAAGAAUUACAUCUCAAAGCCACACAUCAACCUCAGUGCAUAAAGUGGCACAUACAAGGGGUUUCGCUACAGAACUCACUGUGACUAGCACUUAAUUUCUUUUAGUAACAGUUAUAACAGCUAGAAUCGUGACAAGAGCAGUGGACACAACACAAAAAACUCAACACGUAUAUUGUACAUGCUGACAACUACAUAACAAUUUUUUUUCUACAUGUAUGAGGAGCUAUAAGCACUGGUGGCCAAUUAGAGCACAAUGUUAUUUUUAAAAAUUUCUUACAAACCAUCAACAACAGUACUAGUGUCAAUAAAAUUCUUGUUCUAACUCUA